rnacentral:rRNA from 1 species
ACGCUCGACACCUACGGGAGGCAGCAGUGGGGAAUAUUGCACAAUGGGGGAAACCCGUGAUGCAGCGACGCCGCGUGAGCGAAGAAGUAUUUCGGUAUGUAAAGCUCUAUCAGCAGGGAAGAUAAUGACGGUACCUGACUAAGAAGCUCCGGCUAAAUACGUGCCAGCAGCCACGGUAAUCUGAGCGGGCUGGCAAGGC